rnacentral:rRNA from 1 species
UACAGAGGUCUCAAGCGUUGUUCGGAUUCAUUGGGCGUAAAGGGUGUGUAGGUGGCGCCGUAAGUCGGGUGUGAAAUUUCGGAGCUUAACUCCGAAACUGCAUUCGAUACUGCGGUGCUUGAGGACUGGAGAGGAGACUGGAAUUCAUGGUGUAGCAGUGAAAUGCGUAGAGAUCAAUGAGGAAGACCAGUGGCGAAGGCGGGUCUCGUGGACAGUUCCUGACGCUGAGGCACGAAGGCCAGGGGAGCAAACGGG